rnacentral:tRNA from 1 species
CCGCGCGUCGGGCGUCGGGCGUCGGGCGUCGGGCGCGCGCCGGCCGGCGCGCGCCCGCGUGAUAAAAUCUCGUUCCACUCGACAACGCGCGGCCCA